GGCGGGGAGCUAAUAGGCACAUGUACAUGAACUAUGAAAAACGGCAAAUAGAAGCGAGAGAUCGCGGCCAGGACCGGGAGCUACAGGCAUCUUCCGGAUCAUGUGAUCUCCUACAUGAAUAGUGAUUACCGACUGAAGACGCCGUCUGCCCAGGGAGGAUACAUUUCUUCAGAGGUUCCCCGUUAUGAGAAGUCACCAUAUAGAUAACUGAGGUGAUCUGGGCUCAUCACUCUGCGAACUCGCCAGUAGUGCCAGUGGUGGCUGGGGUGACACUGCCGAUAUCCUUCGCCUGGGUGGGGAUGAUGGAGGUGCUGAAUCAGAGCCAAGACGCCGGUUCUUAGUUGGCCUCCUGGAAUAUGUGACUACAGUGAAGACUUACCUGCAAUACCGGCAUCAUCAUGACUGGUCUGAGGCCUGUCUGGGCGGCUGGUCUGUGUGACUGUGGAAAAAGUGACACCAACAUUAUUACCCUGUUUGUUUUUAAAGGACCCAGUGAAAACCAUUAAUGUACUGUAAGCAUCUAUUUGGUUUGGUUGCCACAACAAAAUUAAGCUUAAGAGCUUCUAUAUUUUUGAUUUUGAGUUGAAUAUCAAAAUGUACUUCAUGUGGCACACAAUAAAUUUAUAAGCAGAACAAUUU